rnacentral:ncRNA from 1 species
AAUAGGCUUGGUCCUGGCCUUUCUAUUAGCUCUUAGCAGGAUUACACAUGCAAGCAUCCCCGCUCCGGUGAAGACGCCCUAUAAAUCAUCAUGACCAAGAGGAGCAAGCAUCAAGCACGCACACGCAGCUCAAAACGCUUUGCCUAGCCACACCCCCACGGGAGACAGCAGUGACAAGUAUUUAGCAAUAAACGAAAGUUCAACUAAGCCAUGCUAUAUUUAGGGUUGGUCAAUUUCGUGCCAGCCACCGCGGUUACACGAUUAACCCCAGCUAAUAGGGAUCGGCGUAGAGGGUGUUUAAGAUCUAACAUAAUAAAGCUAAACUCCACCUAAACUGUAAAACCCUAGCUAAUGUAAAAUAAACUACGAAAGUGGCUUUAAAGCUUCUGAACACACAAUAGCCAAGACCCAAACUGGGAUUAGACACCCCCACUAUGCUUGGCCCUAAACCUCAGUAGUUAGAUAACAAAACUACUCGCCAGAAUACUACAAGCAACAGCUUAAAACUCAAAGGACUUGACGGUGCUUUACAUCCCCCUAGAGGAGCCUGUUCCGUAAUCGAUAAACCCCGAUCCACCCUACCCUCUCUUGCUCAGCCUAUAUACCGCCAUCUUCAGCAAACCCUAAUGAGGGCCACAAAGUGAGCGCAAACGCCGUCGCCGCGAAUACGUUAGGUCAAGGUGUAGCCCAUGAGACGGUAAAAAAUGGGCUACAUUUUCUAUUUCAGAAAACCCACGAAAACCCUUAUGAAACUUAGGGGUCCAAGGAGGAUUUAGCAGUAAAUUAAGAAUAGAGUGCUUAAUUGAACCAGGCCAUAAAGCGCGCACACACCGCCCGUCACUCCUCUCAAAUAUAUUUAAGGAAUAUCCUAACUAAACGCCCUAAUAUUUAUAUAGAGAGGAUAAGUCGUAACAUGGUAAGCGUACUGGAAGGUGCGCUUGGAUAAAU